rnacentral:rRNA from 1 species
UGAGUUUGAUCCUGGCUCAGGAUGAACGCUGGCGGCGUGCCUAAUACAUGCAAGUCGAACGAACAAGAACAGCUAAGCUUGCUUAGCAGUUUGCGUUAGUGGCGAACGGGUGAGUAAUACAUAAAUAACCUGCCCCUAUGUUUGGAAUAACAGUUGGAAACGACUGCUAAUGCCAAAUACGUUAUCUUAAGGCAUCUUAAGAUAAUAAAAGAUGGGAUACAUCGCAAAGGGAUGGAUUUAUGGCGCAUUAGUUAGUUGGUGAGGUAACGGCUCACCAAGACGAUGAUGCGUAGCCGGCCUGAGAGGGUGACCGGCCACACUGGGACUGAGACACGGCCCAGACUCCUACGGGAGGCAGCAGUAGGGAAUUUUCGGCAAUGGGGGCAACCCUGACCGAGCGACGCCGCGUGAGUGAAGAAGGCCUUCGGGUUGUAAAGCUCUGUUGUAAGGGAAGAACCGUAGUGAUAGGGAAUGAUCACUACCUGACGGUACCUUACCAGAAAGCCACGGCUAACUACGUGCCAGCAGCCGCGGUAAUACGUAGGUGGCAAGCGUUAUCCGGAAUUAUUGGGCGUAAAGGGAGCGCAGGCGGUUUAUUAAGUCUGAUGUUAAAACACGGAGCUCAACUUCGUGAUGCAUUAGAAACUGGUAGACUAGAGUGCAGGAGAGGUGAGUGGAAUUCCAUGUGUAGCGGUAAAAUGCGUAGAUAUAUGGAGGAACACCAGUGGCGAAGGCGGCUCACUGGCCUGUAACUGACGCUGAGGCUCGAAAGCGUGGGGAGCAAAUAGGAA